AAAAAAUAAAAAAAAAAAAUAAUAAUAAUAAUAAUAAUAAAAUAAAAUAAAAUAAAGGGAAAAAGGAAAAGAGAAGUGUUGAGCACCAUUUAUAGUUACUGAAACAAAAUGCAAUUUUGAGACACCAGACGUUACGAUCUUGCGUGAAAGAAAUGAUAUAUGAUUUGACAAAGUCGCACCGAACUGUUUUUUAAUUUCUCAAAGCACAUUAGCCUUAUCCCAUUCCAAAUUUUCAACAUGUUCAGAUGUACAAUGAAAUGGAGCAUGGAAGGAAGAAGAAAGAAAGCAUGCUGAGGUGCCAAUUUGGUUUCAACCACACGCAGCAUGUGGAUGAUCAUUCAAACUGAGACUCAAGAGAAGGUGAGGCUUAGCACAAUGGUAAGGUUGCUCCAUCGUGACUUGGAGGGCAUAGGGUAAGGCUGCAUAAGGUGGUGAUAUCUGAUGCUCUCCUUGAGGUAUCAUCUUCCAGAAAUCCAUCCCAAUCACUUUGCUUGAAUUUUCUUUGUAGAAAGUUGUUUUGUUCAAACUCCUAUGCCCUGUUCAUUGAAGUCACUGGCAGAAGAGGCCUAAAUGUCUCACAGUCUAUUGCAACAAAAUAUAUAUAAACACAUUCUUGUAGAAAACGUAUUUAAUUUUCUAUAGAAAAUCUGGCAACGCCAGAAGCAGAAAAGGGGUCUAAUCUACUUUGCUUAUAUUAAG